UCCCUGGAUCUUCAACAGCAUGAAGACGGGCUAUGACAAUGGCUUAACUCUUCACUGAUUCGCUCUUCCACAAGACAUUAGCUGCAAAGACUGAAUCAGGGAAUCAGAUGAAUGGUGACUUUUUCAUGUGGUGCACUCUGGGCAGGAUAUCAUCAUAUACUGUAAGUUGGUUAUAGAGACACUACAGUAUAGAUGAUGUACUAUCCAGGGCUUCAUUCCCUCACUUGGAAACACUGGGGUUAAUGGCAUGGAUUCACUAGCUGGACGCACACUUGGGAAACCAGUAAGAGAGUGGCAGUCAAACCGUUACCAUUACUGAGCUUUAGUAAUGGUAAGGGUUAUAUUGCCUCUUCUCACUGUCAUCUGGUGGACAGAGAACUAACAGUUACUAUAAACCACUGUGAAUCAUAAAAAUAGCACUUAUUAAUGUUUUCAUAAGAAAUAAUAAUUAAGCUUUUAAAAUGCAUAUUGAUAUUGUGCUCAACAACUGAGUAACUACAAUGUUUUCUGAAUAAAGAUGUAGUUCCUGCCACAAUAUGCCUGCAUCCUCUGUCUCCCAAAGGACACAAGCUUCUCUGCUUGCACAUUUACCAGUUUAAAAAAUUUGUUUUUCUUUUAUACUCAAUUUACAUUCCUCAUUACAUAUUGUACAUGGCAAAUCUUACAAGACACAUUAUUUGGCUUGUAUCUGAACAAACACCUUUGCAUUUAUCAUACACAUCCUUAUUUACCUAAAUUAGUUCUCUACCUGCACAUUAACAUAGACUGUGUUGCAAAGACACUUAAAGUGUCAUGUAAAACAAAAAUCAAGAGUAUAAAUAUUUUUAAAUGCUUUUAAUGCUUAAUUAUGUAAAAUGGUACACAUAUUUGCAACUCAAAACAAUAACAAAAUGCUGUAUGGAAACAAUAAACAAUAUAUAAUUUCAUAUAUAAUAAAACGUAUUGAUUUCUGAUGUAACUAAUUUAUCUCAAUAAAGUGAUAUGAGUUCUGG